UUCCCUUCCUGUGAUUGUGAAGACAGCUCUGCUCCAUCUUCCACUGUCUUCUGCUUCCCAGCAUGGAGGGUUCAGCCAUUGCAUCUCCUACUGAUGGACAAAAGCAUGAAAGUAGAUCUGUUGGUGAAAGCUCCUGAGAGGUGCGGAGACAGGGAGGAAAUGAGGCGCCAUCCCACUGAAAUCAGCAGGACUCUGUGGUGCUCUGAGGAAAGCAUACAUAUGCCUGGAUCAAGCUGAUAUUUACAGAAGGCUCCUUUUGAAUU